AACGAACGCUGGCGGCAUGCCUAACACAUGCAAGUCGAACGAGACCUUCGGGUCUAGUGGCGCACGGGUGCGUAACGCGUGGGAACCUGCCCUUAGGUUCGGAAUAACUCCCCGAAAGGGGUGCUAAUACCGGAUAAUGUCUUCGGACCAAAGAUUUAUCGCCUUUGGAUGGGCCCGCGUUGGAUUAGCUAGUUGGUAGGGUAAAAGCCUACCAAGGCGACGAUCCAUAGCUGGUCUGAGAGGAUGAUCAGCCACACUGGGACUGAGACACGGCCCAGACUCUUACGGAAGGAAGCAGUGGGGACUAGUGGACAAUGGGCGAAAGCCUGAGCCAUCAAUUCCGCGUGAGUCAUGAAGGCCUUAGGGUUGUAAAGCUCUUUUACCCGGGAUGAUAAUGACAGUACCGGGAGAAUAAGCUCCGGCUAACUCCGUG
rnacentral:rRNA from 1 species